rnacentral:rRNA from 1 species
CCUACGGGCGGCAGCAGUGAGGAAUAUUGGUCAAUGGACGAGAGUCUGAACCAGCCAAGUAGCGUGAAGGAUGACUGCCCUAUGGGUUGUAAACUUCUUUUAUAUGGGAAUCAAACGUUCCACGUGUGGGAUUUUGUAUGUACCAUAUGACUAAGGAUCGGCUAACUCCGUGCCAGCAGCCGCGGUAAUACGGAGGAUCCGAGCGUUAUCCGGAUUUAUUGGGUUUAAAUGGAGCGUAGGUGGAUUGUUAAGUCAGUUGUGAAAGUUUGCGGCGCAACCGUAAAAUUGCAGUUGAAACUGGCAGUCUUGAGUACAGUAGAGGUGAGCGGAAUUCGUGGUGUAGCGGUGAAAUGCUUAGAUAUCACGAAGAACUCCGAUUGCGAAGGCAGUUCACUGGACUGCAACUGACACUGAGGCUCGAAAGUGUGGGUAUCAAACAGGAUUAGAUACCCGAGUAGUC